GCGCCGGCGCUGUGCGCCUUGGCCGCCCCUUUUCUCCGGAGGGUUGGCACAGCCAUGGCGGCUCCAGCGGCGCUGCAGAGGAGCGUGGUGGCCCCCGCGGGGAGACACACGGCUUCCGUCAUCUUCCUCCACGGCUCAGGUGAUACCGGCCAAGGAAUAAGAGACUGGAUCAAAGGAGUUUUGAGUCACGAUUUGUCUUUCCAGCAUA